rnacentral:rRNA from 1 species
CUUACCAGGUCCGGACACAGGAAGGAUUGACAGAUUGAUAGCUCUUUCUUAAUUUCUGUGGGUGGUGGUGCAUGGCCGUUCUUAGUUCGUGGAACUGAUCUGUCAGCUUAAUUGCGUUAACGAACGAGACCUUUAAUUAUUAAUUAGUUAAAUAUAUAGUAAUAUAUACUUUAAAAAAUAAAUAUUAUUUUUAUUUUUCUUUUGACUUCUUAAAAUAACAAUUGGUGAUUAACCAAAGUAAGUUAAAGGCAAUAACAGGUCUGUGAUGCCCUUUAGAUGUUCUGGGCUGCACGCGCGUUACACUGAAAAAUAUCAAUAAGUUUUUAUAUAUCCAAACAAUUAUAUUUAUAUAUUUGUUUUGAUAUGUCCUUGAUUGAAAAAUUUGGGUAAACUUGAUAACUAUUUUCGUGAUGGGA